CCUACAUGAAGCUGGAGUUGCUAGUAAUCGCGAAUCAGCAUGUCGCGGUGAAUACGUUCCCGGGCCUUGCACACACCGCCCGUCACACCAUGAGAGUUGGCAAUACCCAACGUACGUGAUCUAACCCGCAAGGGAGGAAGCGUCCUAAGGUAGGGUCAGCGAUUGGGGUGAAGUCGUAACAAGGUAGC
rnacentral:rRNA from 1 species